UGAAGAAAGGAAAAGCUUGAAGCUAAAAGGAUUGCCGGAUUUACUCAGGUAACGAGCAGUGAUUGAGUAGAAGCUAGUGCUUGGAGUCUAGUGUAGUUCCUUAGUGGGUCAUGCUCUGGUAGAUGUAACAUCGGGACGGGAUGUUUUACCUUGUUUUAUUUGAUUGUGGUUGAACAGUUUACAUGUAAUGUGUUACAUGUUUUGCAUGUUGAUUAGAUUUCUAUCCGCUGCGAAUUAUGCAAAGGUUUAUUUUGAUGAAUAAAUGAGCAUGACGAGUUAAUUUGGAA